UCCUGCCCAUGUUACCGUAUAGCCUGCUAUGAGACUAUAUAUGAGAAUAUAAAAGUUGAGUAAGCACUCUGCGGUUUUAUGUACGAUAAGUUUGUUCCUUGUUGAUAAAUAAAUGAGUGUUGGAACAAGCUGAGCAAAAUGAACACCUUUGGUUCAUCUGUGAUGGCAUCCUUUGUCAAAUAAUAGUGGUUUUAAUUCUUCAGCAAUUUAUUUCUGAUUUCCAAGAAGUUGCCAGUUGAACCAUUUUAUAUUACAAUCUCAUUUUGCAAUCAUUCUCAACUAGAAUCCAUAACAAUUUUUAUCUAAUAAUAAUAAUAAUAAUAAUUGAAACGGUUUAAAAUUGAUUUGAUUUAUGAUUGUUUGAAUCGGAUUGAUAUUGAUUGAUUCGAGAAUCAAUAAGGAUUGAAUUUGUACAAGUUUCAUUAUUAAUUAUUUUAUGUGUUAUUUAAUUGAAUUAAACAGACUAAUAUUAAUUGAAUUGGUAACCUGAUUAAUUUAAUUAUUGAUUCGGUUUUAAAAAGUUUGGUUUGGGUUUAAAGCAGGUUUCAAACACGGAAGGGAGUUCGGCAAAAAUAAGAAAUUAUAAAUUAUGUUCAUAUAAGCAUUUUGUUUCUUAGCACUUAAAAGUAAAUGGGCUACAAGUUACUAGAAGUUCAAAACCUAGAAAUAUCAAUUGUUAUCAUCUCUUCCAGCUUCCCUAUUUGCUUCCAGUUUAGCUCUCUUUGCUUGUUUCGUUGCUUUUGACUCAUCACCCUGGUCAUGCAUGGUUUUCGAAUCUUCUCUCGAUAUCUCAGCUCUACGUGCAGAGUGCGUCUGUUAAGAAGUAUAUCCAUAAUCACCCGAAAGUGAAGGACCUAAUUCGAUACUUGGAAACCAUUCAUGUUUUUCUUUUACAUCUUGCAAUGUGCCUUUACUAUCAUCUUGUUUAGGAGAUCGACAACUUGGAAGAAAUCAUAGUGUAUAUCCCAGAAGAAUUCCAUCACAAAUUAAAUGUUCUUGAACAACAUCGCCUUGGUGUCAAUUCAUAUCGACACAUUUCACACAAAGACAUAAGAUCUUGUUGUCUUGGCAUCUUUUACUAAAAGCAAAAUUCAAAAAAAACUUCAUACACCAUCGUAGCCUUCACUUUUGCAUCCGACUUUUAUCAAUUUCAAACCUAGAAAGCUUUAAUUAUAAAAUAAUAUAAUGCAGAUAUAUUAUUAAAAUUUAACAUAAUGUAAAACUAAACAUUAUUCAAAUUAACUAAGUAUCUCUCUUAUAAUAUUAUUUUUUUAAUUCGGGACUUGAUUGUAAGUUACCACUAUGUUGGCCACUAGUUGAUAUCAUAUUAAUGAUAAGUUAGAUUUUUCUCAAUAUAAUAAAUUUUAAAAACUAUUGUUAAACCAAAAAUCCAUGGGAUAAUUACGGAUUUGCAUUUUACUUAAAAACUUUGCAAAUGGCUCGUUAAUAUUUCAAUGGGCAGCCGCAAUCCCUUUUCACUGCAGUCAUUCCCCUUAAAUUUUUAUGUUCCUAACAAAGCUAUUGCAAGCUUCAAAUGAAAAUUAAUAAAAUAAUCUGAAACAAAGUAACUAGCUCGAAAUAAAAAUCUUCACAGAUUUGAGAGUUUUUUCAGAUAUUUAGCGACGGUUGUACUUACAAAUGCCGCUAAAUCUAUGACCAAAACUACCACACAAAUAUAUAGCGGCAUUUUACAUUAUAAAACGCCACUGUUAUUUUUCGUCGCUAAAUCUCAAACUUUUAUUAAACAAAAGUUAAAUAAUAAUAAUAAUAAUAAUAAUAAUAAUAAUAAUAAUAAAAGAUGGUAUCAAGUAUCAAUACAAUUUUAAAGGAAAAAACUGAUUCACCCAUUCCCAAACUUGAUUUUAAAAACCACAACCACUCUUGUAAAAUCUCUUAUAAAAUCGGGAUAUAUUAAGAUCUGAUGGGUUUAAUAUUUUUCCACUCUUCUUUUCAAAAACAUAGCACAAUUACUAACAACAUUUUUGUUAAGUAUGACUCCUAUUUUCAGUCAAAUUUGAGAAAUAAUCUUUUAGUUAAACUCUAUUUAUUUGUUUCAGUCAAACACUGAUUAGUUUAGAUUAAUUUAUUAUUAUUUGACAUAUGAAUUUAGCCUAUAAAUAGGCUUUUUUACAAUCUUAGUAAAUACACCCAUUAGAUAUUAGAACUCAUAACACAUUUAGAGAAUUUUGUGUUUACGUUUUGAGGGUUCUUUGUUUUCAGAUUUUCGGGGUUUAGUUUUUUCUCUUCAUUUUUUUGCCAUUAUAAUAAAAUUAUCUUUGCCCGUGGUUUUUUAUCAUCUUUGGAGGAGUUUUUCCACAUUAAAUUUGUGUGUUCAAUUUCUCAAUUUAUUCCGCUAUUUUUACUUGUUGCUUAAUCGGGACGAUUCUAACAAGUGGUAUCAGAGCUAGUUCAAAGAUCAGCCUAUUCAGAUAUGACAACAAGGUUUGAAAUUGAGAAGUUCGAUGGUGAGACAAAUUUCAAUCUGUGGCAAGUUCAGAUGAUGACAAUUCUAGUUCAAUCCGGUUUGAAAAAGGUUGUUACCGGGAAAAGUCUGAGAAUCUAAAUGAAACAGAAUGGGAAGAGCUUGAUGAAAAGGCCUUGUCUGCAAUCCAGUUGUGCCUCACGAAUACGGUAUUGCAGGAGGUAUUAAUGGAGAAGACUUCAUCCGCCUUGUGGAAAAGGUUAGAAACUCUUUAUGCGACUAAGUCUCUGGCUAACCGUUUAGUGUUGAAACAACGUCUAUUUACGUUUCGCAUGAACGAAUGUGAGCUUCUUAGAGAUCACAUCAGUCAAUUCAUUACUCUUUUAAAUGAUUUAAAGAACGUUGAGGUUCAUAUUGAUGAUGAAGAUCAAGCUAUGCUAUUAUUGUGCUCUUUACCCCCUGCAUACAAGUCUUUCAGGGAGACCCUGAUUUAUGGCAGAGACAAACUCUCGUUCGAAGAUGUAAAGGGUCAUUUGUUGAGUAGAGACAAACUCGACAAUGAGCUUCAUUUCGAUAGCAAGGUAGAUAGGCAAUCUUCCGUUUUGAUAUCAUCAAAGAAAAGAGACAAAAGGUGUCGCUAUUGUAAAAAGUUAGGUCACAUCAAAGUAGAUUGUUAUAAACUGCGAAAUAAAAGAGCUGCUGAGAGUAACGAGGAAGAUGUAGAUGGUGCUAAUUUGAUCGAUAAAAGCGGUGAUGAUUUCUUGUUAGUGUCAACGAGCGAUAACUCCAAGCUCACGUCCGAGUGGAUCCUAGAUUCGGGAUGUUCUUUCCACAUGUGUCCCAAUAGAGAAUGGUUCUCUACAUACAGUUCGGUUGAAGGUGGAGUUGUGCGCAUGGGAAACGAUUCAUCUAGUAAGGUAAUUGGUAUUGGUACUGUUAAAAUUAGGAUACACGAUGGAACGAUUAGGACACUCUCAGAUGUCAGGUAUGUACCUGAUUUACGAAAGAAUCUCAUCUCCUUGAGUAUUUUAGACUUGAAAGGAUGCAGAAUCAACAUCGAGUCAAGCGGCAUUAAAGUAUCUCGUGGAGCUCUCGUUUUGUUAAAAGGUAAAAGAACUGGCAGUCUUUAUAUUCUGGAAGGUUCUACAGUGACCGGUGAAAUCAGACGUCCCUCGUCCGUUACAGAGUCAAAGUCAACUCGUUUGGAGCGGAGGCAACUUGGUCAUAGGAGGGAAAAAUGUAUGACUGUUUCGUUGAAGAGAGGUUCUCUUUUGGAUGCAGAUUUUGAAAAGUUAGGGCACUGUGUUCGUGAAAAUCAGACCUGGGUUAGUUUUGAUUUGACAGUGUCCAAGUCGAAGGCUAGAAGUCUUCCAAUUUCUAAGCACAGAUUCGACUCAGUUAAUUCCCUGCAUAGUUCAAGAUAGGCUCGUGGCGGGCUUUGGCAAAGAUGGCGUUGUGGAAAUAUGAGUCAAGGUGGAGAUUUGUUAAGUAUGACUCCUAUUUUUAGUCAAAUUUGAGAAAUAAUCUUUUAGUUAAACUUUGUUUAUUUGUUUCAGUCAAUCACUGAUUAGUUUAGAUUAUUUUAUUAUUAUUUGACAUAUGAAUUUAGCCUAUAAAUAGGCUCUUUUACAACCUUAGUAAAUACACCCAUUAGAUAUUAGAACUCAUAACACAUUUAGAGAAUUUUGUGUUUACGUUUUGAGGGAAUUUUGUGUUUACGUUUUGAGGGUUCUUUGUUUUCGGGUUUUCGGGGUUUAGUUUUUUAUCUCCAUCUUUUGUACUUUUCAUUCUUUUGCCAUUAUAAUAAAAUUAUCUUUGCCCGUGAUUUUUUAUCCUCUUUGGAGGAGUUUUUUCACGUUAAAUUUGUGUGUUCAAUUUCUCAAUUUAUUCCGUUAUUUUUACUUGUUGCUUAAUCGGGACGAUCCUAACAAUUUUAAAAACAAACAUUGUUAAUAAAAAAUCACAGAAUCACAAGAUUAAGAAAUUGAUAUAUAUAUAUUUUAUCCAUAAAAUUUUUAUGGUGAACAUGUUCACAACACAAAAGGGAUACAUUCAUGUUCUACAAAACUAAAUUUAUUCAAAUAUAUAAAAACACACUUUUAUAUCUACAAAUAUAGUACAAUCAUAAGUACAUGUCGGAACUGGUCACUUGUAAACUGAAAUUAUAACUAAUAUUUAUUAAUAUAUAAUUUAGCUUAAUGUUAUGAAUGAAAUCAAAACAUUGGCAUUGAACUCACAUAUGUAUAGCAUUUUAAUAUAUAUAUAUAUAUAUAUGUAUAUUGUAAGUGUAAUUUAACAAUGUUUUCUUGAAACAUUAACGUAGAAACCAUCUGGAAAUCCCAGAAUGGGUGCACGAACUAUGUUCCCUCCCUUGACUUUUGUGAACCUGUUCGAUAAAUUUUGCAAAACAUUUUUGGUUUAGAUUCUUUGGAUUAAAUUAUUAAAAUAUAUAUAUACACAAAAUAAUGAAAAAAUAUACCUGAAUUUGGUGACCCAGACAUGUAAAAAGACAGCCAUUAGAACCUUGCUGAACUCUGCACCCGCACACGGCCUAUCCCCUCCUCCAAAUGGCAUGAAGUUCUUUGCCAUUCCAUUGCUCCCAAUGUUCUUUAUUCAUUUUAUUAUUUUUAAAAAUAUCAUAAUAAAUGAAAAAUUAUAAUUAAUGGCUCCAAAAGUUUUAUUUAAGAUUUAAUCCAUGGGAAAGAGUAUAAUUAUACCUUCCAUCUUGAAGGGUUGAAGGUAAGAGGAUCUUCAUAUAUAUUAGGGUUCAGAUGAAGAGCUGUGGGCAUAACCAAUAGGAUCCAACCUUUUGGUAUUGUAUAUCCUGCAAUAUUUAUAUUUUUAAUUUUAUUAUUUAAAGGAUGAAUCACACUUGUUUAUAAUAUAUUCAAAUAAAUUGUUAAUAAUAUAUAUAUACGUAUACAUAUUGUUAUCUACCAUCGACGUGAAUGUCAGCUAUAACUUUCCUCAACAUCCCAGGAAGAACAUUUUCUAGCCUAAGUGUUUCAUUAAUCACCUGAAAAUAGCAAAAAAAAAAAAAAAACAUGAACAAACAAUGGGCUAAAUUUAUUUAUUAAAAAAGUUGGCAUAAUCAAUCAAUUAACUCACGUAACGAGUGAACGUCAUGGAUUUGUAUUCCUCCCAUACAAGUCCAGAAUUGGCAUCUUCUCUGUUCUUUAGAAUUUCCUCAUGCUCCUCCUGGUUCAUUUCUUAAAAACUAACAUAUUAAUAUACAAACUUUUUCAAAGAAAUUUUUUCUCAUUUUAUCCCAACAUACAAUCUCAAUCAAUUAGUACGUGACACAUAGCAUGUUCUUACCGAAUGUUGUACAAAUAAAUUAAGAUGAAAUUGAAGAUACCAUUUAAAAAAAAAAACUUUCUAAAUAACUAAGUGAGAAAAACGAUAUUGAUUGGGGCUAAUUUUAUAAUUAAGACCUACAACAAUUGCCUAUAUUCAUGUACUAUCAUAUAAAAUCCGAAUAUAUAACAUAACCCCAAAACUCAGGUUAUAUUAUUAAAAAUUAAUAAAUAAGCCCUCCAAUUAUCUAAAAUAUUCACCUAGCAAAAAGAAAUAUAAAUGCUUAAGUAUAUAUUAAUUUAAUUAAAAGCAAUAAUAGUAAGUUAAAAGCAUAUAAAGGAAGGAACGAACUGUUAAUUGUUGCAAAGCCGAUGGGUUGUCCAGUAGAUACAUGGUGGCCAAAGUGACAGUGGGUGAAAUCGUCUCGACAGUAGCAAGGAGUAGCCCAAACAGAAGGUAAGGCACGAAUUCCUUCGUCAAAAAUGCUUCUUUCCCAAUGUCUCCUAUUACUUCAUCCAAAAAAUCUCCCUUUUUAUUGCAACCUUCUGCUGAAUUAUCAUAAGAGUACCCCUUCAUCCUCUCUUCUAAAACCCAAGUCGUCAGCUUUAUUGCUUUUCUUUUCUUCUGCAGUCAAAUAUAUAUAUUUAUUAGUGUUUACCUAGAAGGAUUCAUGAUGAUAUUCAUAUUUAAUGGUAUGUUUUUACCUGUAUACAUUUGUAGAAAGCGGUCCCAGGAAUAUAUAAAGGAAAUGUCAUAAUUGAUUGCAACAUGUUGUUUAAAUCUUCACCUAAAUUUUUUUCUGGUUUAUAACUCAUCAGGAUCUGUGAGGUUAAAUCAAAUAACAUCUGCAAAUACCCAAACCAACAAUCUAUAUUUAUCUUUACUACAAUAUUUCAUUCUUGGAUCAUCUGGUUAUCCAUAUGCCAUAAUUACUUACGGGAACAGUUUGGAGUUUUACAUCGACCUCUGGCAGAUUGGUCCACUUAUGUACUUCAUGGUUUAUUACAUCCUCAAGCUCAGACAACAGCUUACGUUUGAGUGGCUCAUGUCCGAAAUGACGGAGAAUGGAGCGCCGUAGAUACCUCUGGAAGUAGCCACCUAGAUUACUCAAGUUAUCGUUGUGUACCGUCUGUGAAAAGGAAUCCAUGUAAUAGAGUUCGAUGAGUUUCCCCUCUUGUUGCAACACGAAGUAGUUGAAUUCGGGAUCUGAUGACACCGCCACCGGUCGACCCGCUAUGUUUGUCUUGAACAACGGACCGUAUCUAAAACCAUAUUUGAAAAAAUGAGAUACUUACUGCACUGACCGGGAAUAAUUGUAGGGUUAUUUUAUUACCUUUUCAAUCUUUCAUUAACGAAAGGAUGCAUGUCAAUGGAGUUGGAAGUGACAAAGAAGCUAAGGGUCUCUCCUAUAAGAGGGAAUCCCAUGGAACCAGGAGGGAGUUUGCCCUUGCAUUUAGGGUUCCUCCACCUAUAAAUCCAGUUGCCUACACUUACACUCAAAAAAGAUAUUAUGAAAACCCAAACAUACCAUAUUUCCAUUAUCAUUGCACCAACAAUGAAAUGGAUAAGGAGUUUGAAAAGUAGAAUUUGAUUUCUUUCUUUAACGUUGCUCCCUUAUAUAGAAGCUUUAUGAUAUUGUUUGAUUUGAAAUAUUCAAUAGUCAAUUGGAUAAUAAAUAUUAAUUCGAUGUUUUUAUCUUUUCAAUUUUUUAAUAAAAUAAUAUGAUGAUGAGCUUUUAACUUUAGUUUUAUAAUAGAAUUUUUUUUCAUUCACUCGUGAAUGUGUCAUAACUUAGUAUAAGAUAAUGCUGUUAAUUGAGUUUAUGUCACAAGUCAACUUGACAUAUUAUAUAUGUGCUAUUAUUAAUAGUUUCAAAUUAUACGUUUCAUUAUUUAAUAGAUGUUAUGUUUAAAUGCACACGUGUUCCAAAUACAUGGUUUUUACACGAAUACUCAUAUAAUAAAAUUACUAAUAUGUAUAUAAGAGUUUAAAUUAUAUUAACAAGAUUUAAAAUAAGUAUUGUUUUAACAAAAUAUUGUUUUUAAAUAUUUAUUAAAUAAAAUAAAAUAUUUAUAUUCAAUUCAUUGUGAGAUUCAACUUUAUCAUCAAACCAAUGUCUCACUCACAAAACCUAAUAAGGGUUAAAGAGCGAUUAUGUAUGUAAGAUGUUAUUUAUGACACUAUAAAAAAAUUUGUAUAAUAUGAUAUGAAUUGUAAAUUAAACAUAAAAAUUUAAUAUAAGUUGUUGGUAACCUUUUGGCCUAGUGUAGGGGCGAAGUCAGAAAUUUUUUUUUAGGGGGGGCCGAAAUUAGAUUGUAAUUUUUACGAUAGUAAAAGUACAAUUUCACCAUUUUAAUAGCUUCUAUCUUUAUAAUUUUAAAGGAUUAAAUCAAAAUUUUAUCAUUUUAGGAAAGCCAAAGUGUAAUUUUACCUUUACUAAUUUAAAAUUUUAAAAAUUUCAAAGGGCCUAAAUGAAAAUUUUUACAUUUUAGGGGGACCGGUGUCCCUGCCUGCCAGCCCCCCUGACCUAGUGGUAAGAGUAUUGUGUUAUAGGCAUUAGAGUUUCGGUUCAAUCCCAAGCAAUUCCAUUCCUCAUAUCUAAUUUUCGAAAUAAUUAGGCAUAAUGAAUUAUUUGGCCCUCCAACUUCACAAUAUAAAGUAGUUUUAUUUUUUCAUUUAUUUUUUCCUCUUUUUUAGCUCUUGAAUUUGCAUGGUUUGUCAAAUCACCCAAAAAUGAGUGGAAAAGUUAAUGUUUGCUAACUUUAUUGAUGUGGCAGUAAAAUAAUUAAAUGAAUGACUAAAAUGAUUUUUUUAUAAAGUUGAAGGGCUAAAAAAAUUAUUAUGCCAAAAAAUUAAUAUAUGUAAUGUUUUAAUUAAUUUCCAACUGUUUAGUAGUUAAAUGCUUUUUUUUAUUAAACAAUAUUAGUGGAGAGGAAUAAUUUUUUACUUAAAUAAUAUAAAAUAAAUAAAUAAAUACCAAAAUAUAUAGGAUAGGAAAAAUAUUAAUUACCGAAAUAGGCAUUUAUUAUAGUAACCCGUUGUUGCUGUUUGACCAAUCGGCGGCAUCACUCUCACUUCCCCCAAUCAUUGUGGCAUGAUUAGUUUUUUUUUUAAAGAAUUUUUUUUGAGCUGCCUCAGUAAAAUAUUUUUUUAGUUGGUAAAUUAAUAAUUUAGUUUUUUUUAUUAGAUGAUUAAAUGUUAGCGCUUGUAUCCUUGAGUUCCGGGUUCGAUUUUUUUUCACUCACAUUUGUAUUUGUUAUUUCAUGUUGUUUAAAGCUUUUUAUGUAUUUAUUUUUAAUUAAUAUUUUUAACACAUUAGCUUUUUUAAUUAGAUGGUUAGAUAAUUGUGAUUUAAUUCUUGAGUCUCAAGUUUGAUUUUUCUUAUAAAUAUUUUAAUAUGUAUUUUUUUAUUUCAUGUUGUUUCAAGCAAUUAAAAAAAAUUUCUUGCAACAACAUGAAAUAAAAAUUCAUAUUAAAAUGUUUAUAAGAAGAAGCAAACUUGGGAGUCAAGAAUGAAAUCACAAUUAUCUAAUCAUCUAACCAAAAAACUAUUAUAUUAACUAAAAAUAUAUAAUAAAAAAAACUUAGAAUCACCAAAUUGGGUAUCCCUUCAACAAGCAACAACAAGAAAUAAAUGAAUAGCUAAGUUUUGCAUGCAUGUAAAUUUAGCCUGUUUUGGGUUAUUGGACUUUAAUUGACUUUAUUUAUCAUAGUUUUUGGUGGGGUUUGGGUGAAUAAGAUACUUAGUUUACAAGAAACCCAAAGUGAAAAGAAGAAGGAAAUAGAUGCCACAAAUUAAAUUAAGUGAUUGGCUAAUGUUGAAGGUUUUACUUAUUUCAGGUGAGCUACCCAAACCCAUAAAGGUGAUGUUGGUGGCCUGGCCUUACCCUAUCUUCCCCACUUUUGACAGCUAAAAAUAAAAAUAAGGUAGUUGGGAGAAAACUAAAACAAUUGGCUAUAUAAACUAAUAAAUUCCAUUUUGGGGGGCUAUGUUUUAAUGGAACAACACAAUUAAUCCCAAGUUGGGUCAUCCAAUUUUAACUUAUAGAACCCUAAUCUUGAUUUUUUUGAAGUUAUGUUUAUCAAACCAAGCUAUCAUUUUUUAUGGUUUCCUUUGAUUUAACGAAAUAGUUUCUUAAAUGUUUUUGGUUUAAAGAUUAUGCUUAACAGAUGCGUUUGGGAAAGGUGGGCUUAAUUUAAUGUCCCACACAAAACCUGACCUUUUUAAUUUUUUAGGAAAAAAAAUUUAGUGUUACUGAUGGAUGUUUCGAUAGUAUUAAUUGCUUAAUAUAAAUAUGUUGUUUAAUAAUAUUAAAUGCUGAAUAUCAAAAUAAUUUAUAUUUUUAAUUUUAAUUUUAUUUUCGUCCUACUAUUUCAUAUAAAAUCAUUUUUUGGACUCAUCAUCCUCGGCACUGAAAAAAAAUUUGUUAAAAUUCCAAAACACAAGUCAUCCAAUAAAAAAAUUCGAUUGAGUCUUAACUCGAUUAAUAUGAGUAUUGUUGUCAAUAUAGGAGGACAUGUGUUUGAGUACACUGAAACACAUUAUCCUCCUAUUUAUGGGUUGGGGAGGGACUAUGGGUAGUUCUAAGCAUUGUGUCAAAAAAAAAGAUAUGACCAUAAUCUAUAAUGAGAUUGUUCAACAAAUUUUUUUAUCGAGUUUCUCUUUUUUUCUAUGUAUUUUUUUUAUUUCGUUGAAGCUAAAUUAUUUAUAGAUUUGAAAUGUUAUUAUUAUUAUUUGGAUUUAAACAUAAAACAUCUUUAUUGAGUUGGUGUCACAAAUCAAUCAAAUCCCAAUUUAAUUAGAAAAAUUACUUUAAUAUCUUUUUGUUAUUAAAAAAAUCAUUAAAAAUAUGCAUAUGAUGAAAUUUAAACUCAUAUCGAUUGAGUUAGUAAAACUUUAAAUUUAUUACUCAACCAAUAAAUCAUUGUUAAGUACAUCUCAGUAUUCUGAGUGGUGAAUGGUGGAUUUUCAUUCUCCUCCAAUACUCUGAUAAGGACUCAAAAAGAGUUCCAAUUCUUGAUUCUAAAGAGUUUCAAGGACACAACGAAUUUCUAGUUAGCGGAGUUGAGAAAGAACAGCGUAAAGAUAGAGCUGACUUGCAUCUGGCAAUUUCUAUAGUUCUAUUUUCUUCUUUGAUUCUGAAAAUAACGGUUAAAGGCCAAGAAAUGCAAGAACAGUUGCUUGCUAAGUUUAGCUGCUUUUCAUCACUGUUGAUCUUAUUUGUAAUCUAGUGUUGUACCCUCUAGAUCCAGUUUUGCACUUCAAAUUGUGCUUGAUAUUUCUGCUUUUGUUUUAACUUGAUGUAAGGAAUAAUGGCAAUUGUUUUGGUACCAGGACCACUGGACCAAGGUGGUUGUUUCUAAAUCUAGCAGGCUUCUGUGAGGGUCGAGAAUUUUGUUAUAAAUCAAUAAAUUGAAAAUAGGCUGCCUGAAUUUGAUAUGUCAUUAGCCGCUAACUUGAUCUUGUUACAGCCCUCCUUACUCCUAUUUCUGCUUUCCCUCCCUUCGGUGAAACAAAAAAGCAAGUUAUUAUCAUGUAAUUACUAGAUAAUAUGUAAGUUGAUUUCUGCAAGAAGAUAGUUAUCUUUAUUUCUAAAUUUUCAUUUCUUUCCUAAAAUGAUUCUAUGCAGUCAGUUGGUAAGUUCAUUCAGAUACUGAUUUUCAACGUCCAAGUAUUCUGACAUUUAAAUUUGUCUUAGUACUAUCACCCAAAAUUUAUGGUUCUUUUCUAUGAUAAAAUUUGUGUUUGAUUAAAUUUUCAGGUUCUUGUACCAAUUGCUGAUGGCUCAGAAGAAAUGGAAGCAGUUAUGAGCAAAGGCAAAUAUUGUGGUGGCCUCUGUUGGAGACAAUCUUGAAAUUCUGGCUUCUAGGAAAGUUAAAUUAGUGGCAGAUCUGCUUCUUGAUGAAGCUGCUAAACUUACAUAUGACCUUGUAGUCUUGCCAGUGUGUUGGAAUUCUGUCAUAUUCCCUAGUCCUAAUUCCUCCCAAUUUUCUUUCUUUGUAAUAUAUUUUAACUUGGUCUUUCCUAUCUACAGGGAGGACUUGGUGGUGCCCAAGCAUUUGCUAAAUCUGAUAAGCUGGUGAACUUGUUAAAAAAGCAAGCGGAAUCAAACAAACCCUAUGGAGCUAUAUGUGCCUCUCCAGCUUUGGUGUUGGGGCCUCAUGGUUUACUCAAGGUUGUUGAAACAAUUGAAAAUUCAUCGUAUAUUUACUGCACCAGUCUAUUAUACAUUUAUAGACUUAGUUAUCAAACUAACUAACUCAUACAUAACUGAUACUAACAACUUUGCUAACCACUCUGCUAUUUGCUAACUAAUUUACUUCUCAACACUCCCCCUCAAGUUGAGGGUUGAUACAUAUCUUUAACCCCUAACUUGGAUACUAAGUAUUCAUGUUGCUUUAUGCUUAGAGCCUUUGUCAUUAAAUCCGCAAGCUGCUCAGUUGUCUUAAUAUGCUGCAUCUGAAUCGUUCCAUCCUUGAUUUUAUCACGCACUAAAUGACAGUCUAUCUUUAUAUGCUUUGUCCGUUCAUGGAAAACAGAGUUAGCUGCAAUUUGCAGUGCUGCCUUACUAUCCGACAAAAUCAAAGCUUUAUCAAACUGACUAGGAUUCACUUCUCUCAACAGACCAUUCAACCAUACAACCUCUGCUACAACCACUACCAUACUCCUAUAUUCAGCUUCUGCUGACGAUCGAGAGACUGUGGUUUGUUUUUUUUGACUUCCAUGAAACAAGAGAAUCCCCAAGUUUAACACAAAAACCAGUCACUGACCUCCUUGACAUAGGACAUGAAGCCCAAUCAGAGUCACAAAAAGCCAUCAGCUGCGGCUUGCUUGCUGCAGACAAAAAAAUACCUUGACUAGGUCUUCUCCUUAUGUACCGUACACGAAAGGCAGCCUCCAAAUGAGAUUUCUUUGGUUUAUGCAUGAACUGACUUAGAUGUUGAACUGCAAACAUAAUGUCUGGUCUUGUAUUUGUCAGAUAUAGUAACCUUCCCAACAACCUUUGAUACAUCGAAACAUCUGCAAUUAAACCAUCUUCUUCAAUUUUUGUUUGUACAGACUCAUCAUAUUCAACUGAAGUGAGUUUCUGAUUCUGCUCAAGUGGUGUACAUACUGACUUUGCUUCCCCUAAUUCUAGAUCAGCUAUCAACUCUAAAGCAUACUUCCUUUGAUUCAAUAUAAUCCCCUUGUUUGAUCUCAUCACUUCUAUUCCUAGAAAAAACUUCAACACACCUAAAUCUUUCAUCUUAAAUUUUUGAUGUAGAAUUUGUUUCAAUUCAUUUAUCAUAUCAACACUACUGCCUGUAAUUAACAGAUCAUCUACAUAGAUGAGUAAGAUGACGAUGUUACCUGUACUCCUUCUUGUGAACAAGGAAUAAUCAUAUUUACUUUGCUCAUAUCUUCCUCGUAUUAAGGCCUCAGUAAGCUUUAAAUUCCACUGUCGAGAAGCUUGUUUCAGACCAUAUAAUGACUUACGCAGUCAACAUACACGAGUCUCCCCCUGGCUGCAAAAACCAUCCGGAAGUUCCAUAUAAACUUCUUCAGACAAGUCCCCUUGAAGAAAAGCAUUGUAAACAUCCAUCUGAAAAAUAGGCCAAUCAUGAAUGGCUGCCAGACUAAUCACAGUCCGAACUGUUACAUGUUUAACAACAGGGGAAAAAGUUUCAUGAAAAUCGAUUCCAGCCUUUUGAUUAUAACCUUUCCCAACAAGACGAGCUUUAAAACGCUCCACGGAACCAUCAGCAGUAUAUUUAAUUUUAUACACCCAUUUGCAGCCAAUAGGGACAACACCAGCAGGUAAAGAAACAACUUCCCAUGUACCAUUAGCCUCCAAAACUUGAAUCUCUUGUUGCAUAGCAUCAACCCACCGUGGAUCCGAAAUGGCCUCAUUAUAAGUGUGGGGUUCAACCAAGGAAGAAAUAUGAGCAGUAAACAAACGAGUAUGAAGAGGCAAAUGAGAAGAAGAAUAGACAUUGGCAAUAGGAAACAAACCUGUAGCAGAAGAUGUGAACGAUUGACUAGAGCAGACAUAAUCUUGCAUCCCAGUAGGCGGCUUGACAGACCUUGUAGUACGGCGUAAUGAAAUGCUAGUAGGUGUUGGAGGUAGAGAGGACGAAGAGGCUGGUAUGCAAGGUGAAGAGGGAUUAACAGGUAUAGAAGAUGAAGGUGAAAUAGAGGUAACCGGUAUAAAGGGUGAAGGAGAUAUAGAGGUAACAGGUAUAGAAGGUGAAGCUACAGGCUCAAGUUGAAGAAAAACAGAAGACUCAGUAUCAGGAAAAGGCAAAAAACGCAUUGUAGGAAAAGUAAAUGGGAAUACUGUUUCAUGAAAAACAACAUCACGAUUAACAAAAAAGGUUUUGGUUUCAAGAUUAAACAAUAAGUAUCCCUUUUGUACAAGUGAAUAACCCAUAAACACUGAAGGAAUAGCUUUAGAAGAAAACUUAUCACGAUAAUUAGGAGUAGUGGCAUAUGCAAGACAACCAAAAACUUUUAAGCGAGAAAGAUCAGGAGGCUUAUUAUACAAAAGUUCAUAUGGACAUUUCCAGUUCAAAAUAGGAGUAGGAAGACGGUUAAUUAAAAAACAAGCAGUCAAAACACAUUCGCCCCAAAAUUUAGUAGGCACGUGAGACUGAAAUUUUAACGACCUAGCCACUUCAAGUAAAUGUCUAUGUUUGCGUUCAGCAACUCCGUUUUGCUGAGGAGUGUGAACACAAGAACUUUGAUGAAUAACUCCAGACAUAGUAAAAAACUCAGCACACUCAUUUUUGAAGAAUUCAUACCCAUUAUCACUACGAACAAUUUUUAUAACAGUAGAGAACUGAGUUUUUAUCAAAACAAAAAAUUGUUUGAGAUAUAGAAGUGCAUCACUCUUUGACUGUAACAAAUAAACCCAAGUCAUUCGUGUGUAAUCAUCAACAAUCAUUAAAAAGAACCUAUGACCACUAUGAGUAGACACUCGAUAGGGUCCCCACAAAUCUAAGUGAAUAAGAAAAAAACAGCAUUAACACGAGAUUUAUGAACAGGAAAAGGAAGCCUCGUUUGCUUAGCUAAAGGACAAACAUAACAUUUAUGAAUAUUAUCCACAUUUGACUUUGUACAAAAAAAAAUUAGGAACCUUAUUUAGUCUUGAAACCGACGCAUGACCAAGUCUAGUGUGCCAAAGAAAAGACGAGUCAGCUAUAGCAACAGUAAUAACAGAGGAAGGUGAAACCACAGAAGUCUGUCGAGACGAAUCCAGGAUGUAAAGACCACCUCGUGCUUUACCAAUCCCCCUCAUCUUGCCACUGGAGAGAUCCUGUAUCAAACAAAAUUGGGGAUAAAAAGAAACCACACAAUUGAGAUCAGUAGCAAGUUUUGAAAUAGAAAGUAAAUUGUAAUGAAAGUUCGGAACACAAAGAACUCUCUUCAAUAAAAGAUUAGGCAAAAUUGAACACACUCCAACAUGAGUAACCGAAACAACAGAACCAUUUGGAAGUCGAACACUCGGUGACCCGAAUGCACAUGCAACAGGAGAUUCCAAGAAACGAAGAUCUGAUAGUAUAUGGUCAGUAGCUCCAGUAUCUAUAAUCCAUCUAUUGCCAAUAUCAGGCAUACCUGCUAAGCUGGCAGCAGCUUCAACCACAACAGGUUCCUUGUUUAACAGAUGCAAAAAUCUGAUUAUACUGCUCCUGCGUAAAAACUGGCGCUUGCAAACCAGACCCAAGGGAACCUACCACUUCACUACUACAAACAGAGUCAGGAGCAGAUACAUUAUUUACUACAGAAUUAUGCACUUCUUUUUUGUAAAUUUGAAAUCAGCAGGAUAGCCAAUCAACUUGUAACAUGUCUCCCUCUUAUGUCCUUUAACUUGCAAUGAUCACAAAUGCCAUUGAAUCUCUUCUUUUGUACCAUCUGGACUGAAGAGAAAGGGACCAAAUCAUCUCAGAUAGUACUAGAACUAUGAUUCCUUUGCGAUUCUUCUUGCAUAAGCAUCGAAUGCGCAGAUCUUCCCCAUCAAACGGCGCCGUUUCAUGCUUUAAAUAAAUAGAGAAAAAAAAGAAAAAAAACAUUUCAGUUUCAGUUUUAAAAAAAAAACAGAGAGUCCCUCUAAUCUCUCUCUCUCAGCCUUUCCAAAUCCGGCCAACAAGGCCAAUGCCAUGCACCGCCGUGACCGCCUUGGACGGUGGCCGUCGCUGUGCAUAGGGGCUACUUUAAGCCUCGUUUCAGAUCCUGUACGAAGGUCACGUUUUUGGUUCGAUGGCUGCGAAGAAAAAGCUUCCACCCCACCCUUAUGAGUCGACUUCAGUGACGGAGAGGCCUCCGACGACAUGACCGACGGGCGUUCCAAGUAUUUCCUUUUGCUCCUCUUAUUAAUAUGUUUUUUAAAAAAAAAUAGAUUUGUAAAAGAUAAAUAAAAUGAAUAAAUGAAUCGAAAGAAAAAGAUGAAAAACAACAACCUUUUGGUUCUCUUUCAAUUUUUAUUUCUUUGAUGUGCCUUUUUUACAUAGAAAAUCGAAGAAGCCCCAAAAUAUAAGCAGUGCUUGGGGCUUUUAUAACCCGAUUACAAACGCUUUAAUCUCUUUUUUGUUUUUUUUUUUACAUUGUUUUUUCUCUCUGCUGCGUGUUUAUUGCUCUUUGCAGGUGGUGUCAGAGCAUGCGGAUGAGGCGAUAGGCGAGCCGCGGCAGUGGCCAGGGGGCGUGCGGGGAGGCUGAGCGGCGCACAAGAGCAGAGGCUUGAAGACCUAGGUGCGGCGCACCUAGGUUUUUUCUUAGCUGAAAUGCGUUUAGUUUUUUUGUGGGCUAGGGUUUGUUUUUGUUUUGGGCCAUGGGCUAGAUUUGGGCUUGGGUUGUAAGCCCGGUCAAAUUUGGACAUUUACAAUAAGUUUGUUCAUUGUCGAAUACGCAUGAUUAACGCUUGGUAACGGACUCAUCAACAAAAUUUGGCUACGCACGCACUAUACGAGUCAUUCAAACCCAUAAGAAAUUGAAACAAAUGCUGUUGUUCAACAUGCUUAACAUUCUGCUUAGAUUGAGGACACCCACAAGCAAACGGAGGUACGAGGACAUCAUACUCAUCCCAGAGUAAUCUUAACUUGGUAAAGUAGGCAGAGAUAGAAAUAGUACCUUGAGAAGACGAGGUAAUUUCACGAUGCAAGAAAUAAAUUCUUGAACCAUCGAUUUUGUGAAACCUCUCACUAAGAUCACUCCACACUGCUGCUGCACUGGACGCAAAUACAAUCCUUGCGGAGAGUUCUUUGCUGACCGUAUUCAGAAUCCAAGAUAGCACAAUCGCAUUGCACCGCUCCCAUUGAUAACCCAUUUCUUCCGGCCACAUAUCUUUGGAACAAGUUCCGUCCACAAAUCCCAAUUUGUUUUUUGCUAGUAAUGCGAUUUUCAUCGUUCUACUCCAGACGUUGUAGUUCUCAACACCAAGCAACUGAUGUGCUACCAACAAAGUGCCCGGAGAAUCAGAAGGAUGCAAGUAAAGCGGAUGAUUGAAAUCGGUGAUUGAAUCGGAGAUACUCAUUGUCUUUGUUACCACGAACCAAAAAACAAGGAAAUACAGACUGAAAAUGCCCUAGAUUAACAGCCCAAUUUUGUUGAAUCAAGCAGACUUGGGCAACAAAUGCAGAGAAAUCAAAGCAACAAGAAUCGAACGCAGCAACCAAAAAAAAUAAUCACAGCCGCUGAUUUAACAAUUCAUCGGAAAUUUUGACACUUUCCGUACCUCUGAUACCAUGUUGAAACAAUUGAAAAUUCAUCAUAUAUUUACUGCAGCAGCCUGUUAUACAUUUAUAGACUUAGUUAUCAAACUAACUAACUCAUACAUAACUGAUACUAACAACUUUGCUAACCACUCUGCUAUUUGCUAACUAAUUUACUUCUCAACAAAGGUAUAAUCUUGAUCGAGUUUAACAUUUUCAUGUUUUCAUUAAAAAAUUUGCAUGGAAUUGUACUUGUUUGUCUUGUUCGUAAAAUAAAUGAUCAACUUAAUUAAAAGAACCAUAAUCUGCCUCUGGGGAAGUAGUCUCUGCGUCUCUGGAGGCUUUUGAUUAAAUAAUUUCAACUACUAUAUACAUUAGAACUUAUCAUUUGGCAAUAUGGUCACUACAUCAUACAAACUGUUUAGUUUGUAUCAUUUGCUUUUGCCUUUAAACUUUGAACUUUCACUAUUGUGCUUGCACUUGCUUUUAUUUUUUGAUUACAAGUGACAAGUUUGUGUGUGUGGUUCCUGUAAUUAUAUCUGUUUCAAACAUUUCGAUCUCGAGUGAAAAAAGAACAGCACUCAAAAGAAAUUUUCUAGUAUUUGAUAUUCCCGGAUGGUUAACAGUCGUUUUGUGCUAUGGUCCAGGGGAAAAAGGCCACAGCUUACCCUGCAAUGUGCGACAAGCUAUCAGAUCAAAGUCAUAUUCACAACAGAGUAGUGGUGGAUGGCAACCUCAUUACAAGCAGGGGCCCUGGAACUUCCAUGGAGUUUGCACUAGGAACCGUGGAGAAGUUUUUCGGACGCCCGAAAGCCUUAGAGCUAGCAAAAGCACUGCUUGUUGUACGCCAGUAGAUGAACUAGUAUGAGUGUUUGGUCCUGCCCAUAUUACCGUAUAGCCUGCUAUGAGACGAUAUAUGAGACUAUAGAAGGUGAGUUUGAAUUCACUCUGCGGUUUUAUGUACGAUAAGUUUGUUCCUUGUCGAUAAAUAAAUGAGUGUUGGAACAAGCUGAGCAACAUGAACAGUUGAACACCUUUGGUUCAUCUGUGAUGGCAUCCUUUGUCAAAUAAUAGUGGUUUUAAUUCC
rnacentral:lncRNA from 1 species